AUGGAGCCGAUGGCGAUCAUGACGGUGACCGGCGGCGUGCUCGGGCCGGUCUUCGUGCUGCUGUCGCGGAUCCAGCCGGUCGUCGACUUCUUCCGGCGGCUCUGCGACUGUCUCCGCCACCCUAGCCGCCGCCCCGCCAGGCCGGUCGUAGCACCGUGGAAACGUCAGGCUGCACAAGAGUGA
rnacentral:rRNA from 1 species